UUGUAGGACACUCUAUACGGAGUUACAAAGGAAUAUAUUAAACGAAUCAUCUGGAAAGUUGAAUCAAAGAAGGUAAUAAUCCUGUAGUUGAAAAUAUAUUCUCUCUUGAGUGGAUCCUGAGUACGACGGAGCACGUGAAAUUCCGUCGGAAUCUGGGAGGACCAUCUCCUAAGGCUAAAUACUCUCUAGUGACCGAUAGUGAACCAGUACCGUGAGGGAAAGGUGAAAAGUACCCCGGAAGGGGAGUGAAAGAGAACUUGAAACCGUGUGCUUACAAGUAGUCAGAGCCCGUUAAUGGGUGAUGGCGUGCCUUUUGUAGAAUGAACCGGCGAGUUACGAUCUGAUGCAAGGUUAAGCAGAAAAUGUGGAGCCGUAGCGAAAGCGAGUCUGAAUAGGGCGUAUAGUAUUUGGUCGUAGACCCGAAACCAGGUGAUCUACCCAUGGUCAGGUUGAAGUUCAGGUAACACUGAAUGGAGGACCGAACCGACUUACGUUGAAAAGUGAGCGGAUGAACUGUGGGUAGCGGAGAAAUUCCAAUCGAACUUGGAGAUAGCUGGUUCUCUCCGAAAUAGC
rnacentral:rRNA from 1 species